CUAUAAUAUUUUAAAAUAAAAUAUUUUUUAGAAAAGGAAACAAACAAAAAGAACCAAGGAGCCUCCUAGGUUAGUGAUGGAAGGAAAAGGGAAACAAUUUGCUUCUAGCACAAGGUACAAUGAUGCCAGAAAAAAGAAGUAACGCUGAGAACACCACACAGUCUUUGAAUAUUGAGAGACUUCUCCAGUGGGCACACAGGAUUCUGCAGUAGAGAAAUUACACUAAAUGUAGAACUAAAAAUGAGAUUGGCUUAUCUGAAAUCUCAGUGGGCAUGAGAAAUGCAAGACAUUAGUAGUCCUUGUCCAAUAGCAUUUGUCAACUUACAGGAGAUAACACUCAUUCCUCAGCUAUACCAAAGUGCCCGAGACAUGAGGCUCUGUCACCUUGGAUAGGUAUAGUAGAUGUCACAAUAACUCCCAGUUACCAAUGACAUGGGGACCACAUGUGGAGGCGCAGCAACUGGAAACUUUCCCCAGGGUAGAAGGGAAAUAAAGGUGCUGGUGUUUAGCAGUGAUCAAGAGGCCUCAUUCAUAGAAUACAUGAUGAAGUGGCUUGGGAAAUACAGGAAUCUUGCAGAAGUAAUAAUGAUGACUGUGAGUAAUAGCUACUUCAUUUCCUAUGUAAUUCUUGGCAUUGUUUCUGUGAAGUAGAACAACGAUAUCAAAAUAUUUCACUGGAAAUUAAUAAGCUCUCAAGUUAAAUUAUAAAAUAUCCUGUGAUGUGAGACACAACAUCCAAAAGUAUUGAACCAAGUAGAAGAAACUGCUAAAAACCAAUGUUUUCUCUAUCUUCUCGUGAUAAAACACAGAGAACAUUUCCCAGUUUAUUACUGCUUGGAACUUAGGAGUAGAAGAAAUACUCUCUCAUUUGCCUGGAGUCUAAGCGCUAUGUGGGGCACCCCUGGCACCUGCCCAGUCUCUUACCCAGGGGCAGGGUCCUGGGAGGCAGACUCCUCACACACACCUGGAAGCGCAGAAGACAUCCUACAGGGUCCUCAGCAAUCAGACAAUAGUCCUGACUCUCAGUGAACUUUCAUUUCCUGAGCUCUGUACCCAGCCUCCCUGGACCUACAACAGCCACCAGUCUCUCAGCACUAGCUAAUGUCCCUCACCUUGUCCUUGGGCUCGACCCAUCUGAUCAGGCUGCCUCUGAGUCUGGCCCUCCCUGCCAGUUCUGCACUCAUGUCAAUACAGAUACUCUCUCAGAGAAGAUGAGCAAACAAAUGUUGGAUAGCACAGGUCUGAUAAGGCCCAAGUGACCCUGACACAAAACACACUUCAGAUUGCAGAUUUGGGGUGUACAUAUAUAAACUAUACUGAAGACUUUGGGGAAGAUUAAGAAAACUUUUUAUGAGAACUUGCUUUUAUUCCUGGUAUAAUAAGGAUUACUAUUAUAAAUUAAUGCUGAAUUUUAAUAAACACUUUAUUGGCAUAUAAUGAAGUAAUCGUGAUUUUCUCCUUUAUAAAACUGAUGUGGAAAAUCAUGGUAAACCAAUCUUGUGUCCCUGCUUUAAUCCCAAUUUGCUCAGGUAUUAACUUUGUCAUAUACUACUUGACUUAGCUUGCUCAUAUUUUCUUUAGAAAUUAUGCACUUAUUUGACAUAAAGUUCAUAAUAUUCUCAUUAUAUUUUCAGUACCUACAAAGAAUUAUAAUGAUGUCCCCUUUAUAUAUUCCUAACACCCAGCUAUUAUUUUAAUCUCUUUUCCUUCUUUGAGCUUGCCAAUUUUAACAGAUUUUUUAAAAACAAAAUUUUGGC